UACGGAGGGUGCAAGCGUUGUUCGGAAUCAUUGGGCGUAAAGCGCGUGUAGGCGGCUUUUUAAGUUUGGUGUGAAAGCCCGGGGCUUAACCCCGGAAGUGCACUGAAUACUGAUUAGCUAGAGGGUGAGAGAGGAUAGUGGAAUUCCUGGUGUAGGGGUGAAAUGCGCAGAUAUCAGGAGGAACACCAAUGGCGAAGGCAGCACUCUGGGACGUGACUGACGCUGAGACGCGAAAGCGUGGGGAGCAAACAGG
rnacentral:rRNA from 1 species